rnacentral:rRNA from 1 species
UGGGGAAUAUUGCGCAAUGGGGGAAACCCUGACGCAGCAACGCCGCGUGAAGGAUGAAGGCUUUCGGGUUGUAAACUUCUUUGAUGAGGGACGAAAGAAAUGACGGUACCUCAAAAACAAGCCACGGCUAACUACGUGCCAGCAGCCGCGGUAAUACGUAGGUGGCGAGCGUUGUCCGGAAUUACUGGGUGUAAAGGGCGUGUAGGCGGGGAUGCAAGUCAGAUGUGAAAUGCCGGGGCUUAACUCCGGAGCUGCAUCUGAAACUGUGUUUCUUGAGUGUCGGAGAGGAAAGCGGAAUUCCCAGUGUAGCGGUGAAAUGCGUAGAGAUUAGGAAGAACACCAGUGGCGAAGGCGACUUUCUGGACCGUAACUGACGCUGAGGCAUGAAAGCGUGGGGAGCAAACA